CUUGUGCUCGCUAGUCAAGUGCUCUACCACUGAAGUAAACCUCCAGGCCCAAGCCAGGAUAUUUGUGCGAACCGCAGUGAACUCGUGGGAGACUGAAGGCAGUGCCCAAAGCCUUGCUCUGCUGGGCAGGUCUCUGUCCAGUCCAUACGUCCGCACAGACACCUGCCCUGCCGUGUGCGGUGUUACUCUCCACAGGAAGGUCCUGGAAGACUCCUGGGGUUGCCGUGAUAGCCAGCAGCCAGCAAGCCGAGUGCCCACCUGUGCUGAUUAGAAGCUGGAACAAGUUGCUGGACUUCAGCAAAGAGAGAAGGCUGGACCUGUGCCACGCUUCGGAGAGGGGCAGUGGCAAGAGAGAAUGAUUCUGUGACACCACUAAGGCCUCUGCCAGGGCAGGAAAGCUUCCCAGCCUCGUGUGGCCAGAAAGCCUCCUCGUACCGCGGGGGCAUCCGCUGCCAAAUGAGUCAGCACCGUCUGAGGAGGAAGAGAACCCUGAAGGGGGCGGCAGCUCCAAAUCGUCCAGGAAGUUAUGCGCCACGCUUGCUUUGCUACCUUCUGCCCUCUGUGGACUGUUCUUCUCUGUGAUGCCCUCUGCCACGCCACCCGCCUUGGAACCACGUGAUUAUGGACUAAACUCACUCAGGAGACCGAGGCAGGAAGAUUGCCACAGUUGAAGGCCAGUCUGAAUUACUGAGCAAAGACCCUGUCUACAAAAAAAACAAAAAACAAUAAACAACGAAGUUACUCAAAUAAAAGCAAAGUUGGAGUUUCCUUUGUUUUAAACAUCAUGAACAUGCUGUACACAACUCAUUUUACAACUGAUUUGUUUUAAUCAUCUAGUUGUGUGAUCAUGACUCAGUCCUUAAAUAAGGAAUUUUGUGCUUAGUUUUUUUGUUCUUGGUUCAAAUUAUACUAGAUACUUCUUUGAAAAUGAUAAGCCGACAUUAACAAUAAAGAAACAAAAAUGAUGAUAUAAAAGCAUUACCUUCCUGUUUUCAUUUGUAAUUGGAAUUUUAUCACCAUUUUCCUUUAGAUCAUACAUCAUUGGGUUACCAAAAAGAUCUGUCUGUGAUAUCUGAAAAGUGAUCAUCAUAUCAUCUUCCACGUUCCCUUCGUAUUCCAGUAAGUCUUUUAAACUUUGAUGUAAAACCUAACAAUCAGGAAGGAAAA